AUGAAGAAAUGCUUUGGAUUCAGGAUACUUAUGUUUAGUGUCAUCCUCUUCAAUCUCAAGGGAAGGCUGUCAAGGUUUUAUCCAGCCUCUGGUGGUGUUAUUCAUGUGCGGAUCCAGGAUAGCUAUUGGUAUCAAGCUUCAAUUUUCAUGUCUGGUAUGACCUUUCUGUCAUCAUCCAUUUUAGGAGUUGCUCGUUGUGCGAUGCUGGAGCCUUCUUCAGUUAGUGUUGAUUUUUUUGGGUUAUUAGUUAUUGUAACUACUUUGUAG